GCGCUCGGGCCCCAGCGUCGCCGGCCCCGCCUGCGUCGGGGUCGCCGCAGUCCCCGCCGCUCGCCGGGGCUCCCUGGCCAGGUGCCCCGGCUUUAUUGCAGCCAGGGGAGCGCCCCAGGUGGGGGUGGGGGAGCAGGCUCGCCAGGGAGGCCGAAGCGGGGCGCCCCAGGGCACCCCAGCUCUGUGAUCCCGGGAGGCGGCCCCGCAGGGCCAGGCAAGGACGGGGCGGUCGGUACAGGGGCGGGCGCCGCUCAUCAGCCACGCAAGUCACGUCUGGGGCCACCCGCUCUGCCCGGCCCGCCCGCCGUGCCACCCUCCUCCCCCGGUCCGCGCGGGCAAAGUGGCCGCGGCGACGCCAUGCCCGGGCCGGAGUGAGUACGCGCGGGCGAAGAUGGCGUACAUCCAGGGCAGUUGGAACCACUGAACGAGGGUUUUCUUUCUAGAAUUUCUGAUGUGCUACUGUGCGGAUGGACAUGUCGCCACUGCUGUCAGAGGUGCUAUGAGUCCAGCUGCUGCCAGUCCAGCGAGGAUGAAGUAGAGAUCUUGGGCCCUUUCCCUGCCCAGACUCCUCCAUGGCUGAUAGCCAGCCGGAGCAGUGACAAGGAUGGUGACUCUGUUCACACGGCCAGUGAUGUCCCAUUGACCCCGAGGACCAAUUCCCCAGAUGGGAGACGCUCAUCCUCAGACACAUCCAAAUCCACGUACAGCCUGACACGGAGGAUCUCUAGUCUGGACUCCCGGCGCCCCAGCUCCCCUCUCAUCGACAUCAAGCCCAUUGAGUUUGGUGUCCUCAGUGCCAAGAAGGAGCCCAUCCAGCCAUCGGUGCUGCGCCGGCCCUACACUCCCGAUGACUACUUCAGGAAGUUCGAGCCCCGGCUCUACUCCCUUGACUCCAACCUUGAUGAUGUGGACUCUCUGACUGAUGAGGAGAUCUUAUCCAAGUACCAACUGGGCAUGCUGCACUUCAGCACACAGUAUGACCUCCUGCACAACCACCUGAUGGUGAGGGUGAUUGAGGCCCGGGACCUGCCACCCCCCAUCUCCCAGGAUGGCUCUCGCCAGGACAUGGCCCACUCCAAUCCCUAUGUCAAGAUCUGCCUCUUACCGGACCAGAAGAACUCCAAGCAGACGGGCGUCAAGCGUAAGACCCAGAAGCCAGUGUUUGAAGAGCGCUACACCUUUGAGGUCCCCUUCCUGGAGGCUCAGAGGAGGACCCUGCUCCUCACUGUGGUGGAUUUCGAUAAGUUCUCCCGCCAUUGUGUGGUUGGGAAAGUGUCCCUGCCUCUGUGUGAGGUUGACUUGGUGAAGGGCGGCCACUGGUGGAAGGCUCUGAUCCCUAGUUCUCAG